rnacentral:rRNA from 1 species
CCCUUAGAUGUUCUGGGCUGCACGCGCGCUACACUGUUGCAUUCAGCGAGUUUUAACCAAGGCCGAAAGGUCAAGGUAAUCUUUGAAAGUGCAACGUGCUUGGGCUAGAUGAUUGCAAUUAUUCAUCUUAAACGAGGAAUGCCUAGUAAACGCAUGUCAUCAGCGUGCAUUGAUUACGUCCCUGCCCUUUGUACACACCGCCCGUCGCUCCUACCGAUUGGGUGUGCUGGUGAAAUGUUCGGAUCGGCCGUUUGUCGCGGUUUCCGCGUCAUGUGGCUGAGAAGUUCAUUAAACCCUCCCACCUAGAGGAAGGAGAAGUCGUAACA